rnacentral:lncRNA from 1 species
GAAAAGACGGUUGGUCUGGUUGCUGGUGGUGGAGCUUAGCUGGCAGGAGAAUAGAGGGACGACGACCGCUCGUUAUCGGUGGGCAGUGGAGGUAGUAGAGGUAUCGGCUUUUGACGGUGAAAGAGAUGGUGGUGCGUAGGGGUUGCCGGCUGGCCGAUCGGUAAUCAUAUCAGGUGGCGGCUACUUCGUAGAGAUAGAGAUCAUAGAGAGACGAGUUGCCUCUAUUUUCAG